rnacentral:rRNA from 1 species
CACGUAGGAGGCAAACGUUAUCCGGAUUUACUGGGCGUAAAGCGCGUGUAGGUGGUACUGUAAGUAGGGCGUGAAAGCUCCUGGCUCAACUGGGAGAGGCCGUUCUAAACUGCAGAGCUAGAGGAUGGUAGAGGGAGGUGGAAUUCCGGGUGUAGCGGUGGAAUGCGCAGAUAUCCGGAGGAACACCAGUGGCGAAGGCGACCUCCUGGGCCACUCCUGACACUCAGACGCGAAAGCUAGGGUAGCAAACGGG